rnacentral:lncRNA from 1 species
AGUCACCACAUGCCAAGGCCCAGAAAUUUUCCAUUUCACUGAUAAGCCUUCUUUCACAUCCCAAAAAGGAGUUUCAGCUAAAGAAACAAAGAAUCUAUCUGCCAAAAUACCUUUCCAAAUUAUGCUCAAUAAUCUCAGAAGCAAAAAACAAGCCCUAUUGAAAAAACAGAACCAGUUCAUCUGGGAAGAAUCUCUACAGAGAACAAAACAAAGGCAGGGAUAAGAGAAACUCAAAACUGCUGCUGGAAGAAAAACGAGGUAAGCAACCAAUUCCCUUGACUUCAUUUUCUGUGUAGGAAAUGGGCAAAACAUAUCACUUUGGUAACCUUGGC